AGGAGGGCUAAUACAGGGUCUGGCUUAACCCAGGUACCAAUAAAACAUGUUGUUUUUCUAACCUCUAUGCCAGGGGCUUUAUAUUUCCAUGAACACGGGCCUUAAAACAAGUCUAUGAGUGACCUUGUUCAAGUAUCUCUCGCUGAUUUCAGCUCCUAAGUAAUAGGCCUGGCAGUGCUUCCUUUCGCAGCUCAGCUGGAGGGAAAAGGGGGUAUUCCACCGUCGCUGCUUUAUACAUUUACUUUCUACCUGCUGGCUUCAAACGGUAUUAAUUUUUAUGUGCUCCUUGUGCACUGUGUUUAAUUAAAAGCAGUUCUACUCGCAGAGGUACUUGUAGCUUUUUUUCCUCUCCCUGAAAUGAAUAAAACAAAUAGGCAUCUGGUAUUUGUUUUGUAUAACACAAUUUCCAUAAAAUGCACAGUAAUGAAACAUAAUUAUCUGUAAAGGCUUGUUUUAUAAGCCUGAGAAUGGGCUUGUUUCUACCAGGUUUUUAAAUUCAACUCCUAUGAUAAAGAAUCCCUUUGUCCAUUAAUAUAUAACAACAAUCACAACAAAAGCUUCCCAAUUUUGUGCAUGAACCCAGCUCAUCUUUUAUUAAACAAAAGCUUUAUUUUCUGUUACUGUGUACAUGAUAAAGGUUUAUCAUCACAUUCCUUCCAGGGAAACACAUUAGGUUGCUGGAAAAUAUUUAUUUCCUGUUCUGUAUUCUGUUCUAUCGGCAUAGUUUUAUUUAUGAUAUUUCCCCAUAAUUAGAGAGACAGUUUUAUUGUCAGUUGCUGAAUUUUUUAGGUCACAGUCUAAUCUAUGGGUUCUAAUACCUCCUUUUAGGAAAGUACACGUCAAACUUUUCCGUCAGUUUUUAUAUAGUGUACUAGAGGCCCAGUCCACGAAAUCAUGUGCAAGUAACUCACUGCUGCUUGCCACUGCUUACCACCCCACCCACCAUCGCUUGCGGGAGGCAGGCCAGGUGGGGAGAUGCGCCAAAGGUGGUCAAUGUACCUCAUGGCAACUGGUAGAGUGGUUCUUCCGGUCGUUACGCUUAUGGCCUUUUAUUAUAUAGGGUAGGCCUUAUGAGCCUUGGUUCAAGAACCCUACCCCUGCCUGAAGGUUAUUAUGAAAACUGUGCUUUUUAUCUGAGGCUAAGGUUUUAGCUUUAGUAUAUGAAUAGUUGAUGAAAGAAUUGUGCUCAAAGGUUUUGUAGCACUGGGUUUAAUUUCAGGGUUAGGCUCCUUUCUAAGAAUAGGUAUACUCUCAUCUAAGGAAAAAAAUUUAGAAUGUGGGAAGUAUAAAAAUUAUUAAUUUCAGAGGUGGAUUUGCUGUCAGAUUGGAUGGCAGUGCCUACCUCCCUGGGGGGCUCCUGUUCCCAAGACUGUUUUUAUUGUUUCUCUCUCCGGCUCCGCUCGAGCCUUGAAGUGGUGAAUUCAUCCGCCGAGGUUGUGUGUCCAUUGCUGCAAGAAUAAGAGAAGCAGUAACAAAAUCAUGCAGCGCAGUAUUUCAGGAUGACAGUUUUAUGUGGUUGUGUGAUGUUGCAGAGUCUUGUAUGUGAUAUCGACCCUUUUCUUUUGAAUCAAAGCCCAGGGUUUUACUGGAGAAGGGAGGCUUCAGAAAUAAUUUGAGUCUAUCCUAAAAUCGAGCCCCUAAAUAGUUAUCCCAUUGUGUCUCCCAUUAAGCUAAUUGCUCACAGGACGUACAAGUACAUAUAUGGAAUACUUAUAUCCAGUUUGAGUAGGGAUUCCUAAUUUUAAUUUUCUAACGCCUUUUUAACUCUAUCUUUGUGCGUUGAAAUGAACCUGAAAUAUUUCUAUUAGUAUGAAUGCCAGCUGAAUGAAAGAGACCCAGGAACUUGAUUUCCCCCCUUUAUGUUGCCAUCUAUUGGAGAAUGAAUAGCUUAAAAUAAGAGCAUCCGUUCCUCAUCCAGAGGCAGGCUGACUAUUUCAAUUCUAGACUGGCAGUCACUCUGCAUGCUUACUUGAAAUACCAUUUUUUGAACAUACUUGGCAACUUGAAGUGCCCAAUUAAAAAGCUCUGGAGAAAGAGGAAGUCUGCGGCUGUGCAAUUAGUCCUCAGGAUUCAGAGUGUUUCCUUUAUGUCUGGAAGGCCAUAAUAGGAAAUCACUGGACACAAUAGCCUUAUGCCAGGUGCUUAGAAUAGAAGGCAUUUUCAGGAUGGAUUAUUUCUAUACUCUUGCUCCUGAAAUGGUUCACCUAAAGAGACUCCCAACUCCAUAAAGAUACUGGCGGUGUGAAAAAAAAUUUGGCGGGAGGCUUUCACAAAAUUUUAGACAAUUGAUAACUGGAACUAGCCAAAUCAGUGGCAGAUAAUACCUAACCACAUACAGGAGUGCUCAGCCUCUCUAAUUUAUCUGAUUGACAACCGUACUCCUCCCACCUGUUAUUGUAUUUCAUUUUUUUUUAAAGAGAUGAGGAUUGGGUGCCAGAGAAUAUGCCAGAUAUUAUGCUGCUCUCCCUAAAAAAAACAAAGCCUCAUUAAGUAGAGCUGUAUAUUCUGAGAUUAUUUAUAGUGUUUAUUAUAGAGAAACCAAGAACACUAAGCACUUAAUAGCUUUCCUUAUUUACAAGUCAGAUUCAUCUAAGGGAUAUUAUUCUUUUAUUUUCCUGGUGCGUGAAAUGUUCCUUUAAAAUAGAUUACAAAGGAGGAUCAAAAAAAAAAAAAAAGGAGGCUACACAGUCUACACAGUGACACAAAUUUGUUGGAGAGCGUCAUGCAGAAUGGAUGAAGCUUUCCUUUUUUAAUGCUCUGCCACAAAAAAGUCCAUGUUAUUUAGGUACAAACACUGCUUUUUGUCGAAGUGAAUUCACACACAUAAGUAAUGUAGGACAGAUACGUGUAUGUAUGUGACUGUGUGGCUGUUAUUUCCCAAUUAUAUCAUAAAUGCAUUCCAUUAAA